ensembl:snoRNA
UGUCCCUGUCCUGAGUAGAGUGGCAUCUAACUGGUGGUGUCCAUCUCAUAUCAGCUGGGGGAAAAAAAAAUCAAUCCCUUAUUUAUCCCACUUAGGCUUUUGGCCUGUGUCUGGUUCAUGCCAAAAAUUUAUGG